UUUUUUUUUGGGUAGAAAUUUAUAUAUUACCAUAUAGUUUUAAUUCAAAAAAAGAAAAAAAAAAUCAAUGUCAUGAUCGGAGGUGGGACUCACUUGAUAGGGUCAGGUGGCGUAAUGAGAUAACUUAAGCCAUCUUGGUUGACUGGAAAAAGUAGGGUUGAGAUAUGUGAUUUUUGCAUACAGAUCCUUCGAUUUAUGUAAUUUAUUAAAAUAUAAAAAAGAUAAAAGAGGGUGAAAUUCGAAAUCAAAACUAUACGUCUAAUUUGGAACCCUAAAAGGGCGCGCGGAAAUCUCCUUAUCUGACAGUGCCACACUGGUUAGAGGUCACUUAGGUUAGAUUUUUCUUUUUCAAACAGACAAUAAACGGAAAGAAAGUGAGGAGCAAAGAUCGAAGAGUUUACGAUUCGCUAAUGCCGUGCUUCCCUCAGCCGGGUUCGGUAACUGUCUGCGAGAUCAACCGUGAUCUGAGUAAGCAAAGACUAUCUCUUCGAUCUCUUUCACUCACUCUAUAUUUGUUCCCGUAUUCCAUUGUUGUUUUAAUCAGAGGGUUCUUUCUUCUUCUUCUGGUGAUUGUGUAGUAACCUCAGAGAAACUCUCGGACGAUCAAGCUAAAGCGACCUAUGGAAAAAUUCUGGUGAAAUUGUUUUCUUCUUCUUCUAUCUAUGAAACUUCUAUUUGUACCAUUUAAAAUACUUAAUUUUUUAUAAUCUGUCUUUAUUUUGACACUUUCAUUUAUUUUUUGUAUAGGGGGUUGUGUUCAGUCCGAUUGCUUUCCAACCUGGCCUUUUCUUGUAUGAUUCUGAACAGAAUCGAGAAAGGGAGAGAGAAAAUGGUGAGGUGGUUCGGACUAGUGGUAUAGCUGCGAUUUUGACGCUUGUUGGUGAUUCAUUUAAGCGUGCAUUGUCUCACAAGAUUCUCAGUGAUGUAUUUCUUUCCCUUUCCCUCUCUUUCUUAAUAGGGUUUUCUUAAGAAAUUUGCAAAUAAAUAUCAUUUUCAACCUGGUGCUUUCUUUUGAUAUCUGUGGAUAUUCAAAUUCUAUAUAUUUUAAAUUUCAAUUGUUCACUGUAAAAUUCACUGGUAUUUCCAAUGUUUAUAGUUUAAAUGGUUCUUUAGAAUUUAGAUCGGGUAAUUUGGUACCCUUUUCUAAUCUCAAUUAAUUGAACAUAAGGGUUGGGAGGGAAAUGGGAAGUUUAUGCAUGAAUUUAAUCAUUUCACAUAUUUUUGUAAAGUUAAGAUGUCAAUUAUUAUUUUUGGUUUUUAACAUUCAGGGGAUUACACAAGUCAAUGUUCAAGUGAGAUGGCACCCUCAUAAGCAUAUACUAGCAUUCAUCUCCAGUCCUAAUCAAGUUACCAUAUACGAUUAUGAUGAUUCAGGUUAUGAUUCAUUUUCACCUCUUAAGAAAAUAUCCAUUGAAAACAGUAUAGAAAGAUAGAGAUUAAAGUGUACUUGUUUUACUACGUUUCAAUUAUUGAUUUUUCCGAAGAUGGAUAUUUUUUUAUCAGAGGGAAAAGAACCUAUCAUUUUGACGAAUGAGUCCCUAGGGAACAUUACCGCUAUCGAAUGGAGGCCAAAAGGUGGGAGGAUGCUUGCUGUAGCAUGCAAGUGAGAACUAUUAUUAUAUUUCAAGGCUAUUGUAAUUCAGUUUGUUUGUUUUAUUUCCUGCAAAAUAAUAUUUUGUUUAUUCAGGCGAGGAAUUACUAUUUGGUCCUCAUCUUACCCUGGUAAUGUUGCUCCAUUAAGAUCUGGAGUCUCCUCAGUAGUUGGUAUCACUUCGAGAGGAUCUGGAACACGUUGGACCUUAGUUGAUCUUCUUCAUAAUCCUGACUGUAAUGAAAAAAUCAUCUCACUCAGUUGGAACCCUAAUGGAAGAUAUCCAAUCUAGAUUUUGAUAUACUAAAAUAACUUAAGUAAUAAGUACGCUUAUACUAAUUUUUAUGUCAUUUUCCUAUUAUCUUAUGGAGUUCUAUAGAUAAAAAUCACUUGAUCAUCACAAUCAAUACAAAUAAACAAGAUUUUCCUAUCAAUUUUCUUUAACAUUUAUUUCUUCACGUUAUUGGCAUCUGCUUCAUCUGAGAGCUCAUCAUUUACCAUAUGGGAUGUUGCCCAAGGUACUUUUUCUUUCUUCUCAUUCAAUUUGUUUAUCUGCUGUUGAAAAUAUUGUAUUACGCUUUUUUAUAUUCUAUUUUUCAUUUAUCAUCUGCUUUUCAAUUUUCUUAUUGAGGUAUUUGCACUAAAAUGACUAUAAUGCAUCACAAAUCCAAGCUUUAUGUUAACUGUUGAGUAUUUUGUGUAUGUCUAGUUGUCAUAUUUUUUAUGAUAUUUUUUCAAUAUUUUUCUUCUGCUAUGUGAGAAAACUGGAAGUUAGUCUGCCUUGCCAACUUUAAUUAGUUUUGUGACUUCUGUCAUUAUACCAGUUCACCAACUUUGAUGAGUUACGUCUUUAUCCUACCUCGCCAACAUCGAUGAUUUCCUUUACUGACUUAAAAAUUAUUCCAGGGCAUCUUAAAAUGUAGUAAUUGAUAACUGUGUUGUAGGUAACUAGGUAUAGUAUAGUAACCUGGUAACAUAAAGUAAAAAAAUAAACAUUUACAUAUUGAAACGAGGGAUACUUCCCUAGAAUCCAUACAUGAUGUAGAAAUGCCUACCUCUGGAUGAUAUACCAGAGUCACAUAAUAAUUAUCGGUUACAUCGUAGUGGAAAUUUAAUGAAAAUGAGCACACAACAACACUAAUGUGACAAGUUGAACUAAUCUCCCUGUGAAAUAAACAUUUACAGAUUUCUCUCAUCUCUAUAAAUGAUUAAUGUCUUUCAAUCUACAAUAGAGUUUUUAUCUUUAAUUGCAGCAAAUCUGCAAUGGCAUUUUUGUGAUUUAUCUAAUAAGCUUCUGAAUUGUUAUUUUCUGUUUUCUGCAUAAAUAUCUGUGAUUAAAUUUUUAAUUUUAGAAAAAGUGAUAUUAAUUUUAUAGUUCUCAUUAACUUAAUUAUCGAAGUUUCCAUUUUUUAUUUGAUGAUCACGGUCCUGUGUUCUUUUUUCUCAUUUUACAGGAGUGAGUACUCCUAUUCGAAGAGGAUUGAGUAAUAUAUCAAUGUUGAAAUGGUCGCCAUUGGGAGAUUACUUUUUCACUGCAAAAAUGUAUAACUGAUUUUUCUUGUUAAAAAUUUAAUGUAAAUAUGUUGUGCCACCUAACAUUUUUAUGUGCUAAACAAUUACUUUUCUAGUGAUGGAAGUUUUUAUCUCUGGGAAACAUACACGUGGACCUCAGAGCUCUGGUCUUCAUCUGAUGGAUAUGUCACAGUAAGCUGAAUAUUCAGAGAAAGUGUAAACAGUAUUUUUUAUAGUGUUAAUACUGUUGCAUAUUUUGCAUUUUUGUGCUACACUUUUUUUUGUUUGUAGAAAUUAUUUAUGCAUUAUUCAUUCAUGAAACAUUGAAUCGCUUUAUUAUCAGGGUGCAAGUUGGGAUCCAAACAGUCGGAUGAUUAUGAUGGCCUUUUCAAAUUCUAUAACCUUAGGUUCUGUUCAUUUUGCUUCUAAGCCUCCAUCACUAGGUAUGUUAAAUUAUUAAUAAUUUCUAAUUUUCUAAUGGUGUGCGUCCACAGUCGUCUUUAUUUCGAUUGUCGAGUAUAAUUUUUUUUAAACUUGAAGUGCUUUUAUCUCAAAAUAUAAUCUGAAUGCAGUAAACAUAUGCAGAUCUACUUGUGCAUGCAUAAUUGCAUAUGAAUUCUUUUUUGUCAAGUGAAGCUUGUGUAUGCAUGUUGAUUUCAAGUACUUGUGCAUGCAUAUUGAUUUUCAAUUGAAGCUUUAAAGAAUCGUUGAAUCUCUUAGCAGAAAUAGAUGGUAUAAUAUUGAAGAUGAUUAACUAUUUUAAAGAACGUCACUAUCGAGUAUCGAUAUGAUUGAUAUAGUAGAUGUUUUUAAUCAUGCAUUUAUUGUUGAUAUUUUUAAUGACGGGGCUUGCUAAUUGUGUGUUUAAAUGAUACUAAAAAGGGAUAAUAAUAUAAAGUCAAUGUAUGAUGAGAUCAAUUGUUGGUAAUUUAGAAAAUCUAUGUAGCCAAAAAUUUAGCUAGACUAUACCAUCCAACAAUGUUUACAAACCUUCAUGUAUAUUAUAAGGAUGAUAAGUUUCUGCCUUUCUGGCACUUGAUUUUUUUUGUAUUGAAUUGGAUUUACAGAUAAUAUCUUUUUUUGGUUAUAGUAUAUGUAGUUCUGUUUUUAAUUAAAAAAAAGUAUUGUAAAUCUGUCAGAUUUAUAUUAUCCUUUGGAUUCUGAUAAUGUGAUUCUAUUGACAUAGAUGCACAUCUAUUACCUGUGGAUUUGCCCGAGUUUUCUGCAAUUGGCAGGUAAAAUUCCCAUCCUCUAUCAUACCUAUAUUAUUUUAUAUUUUCUUAAUUUUUGGGGCAUAAUUAAAGAGCAUUAGUUAUUUUAUCAUUUUGAUGUAUAAUUUCCAAACCCAUAAAGUUAUGCUGAAUGACAAUUUCAUGGGACCUUUAAAAUCUAUAUCCGCAUUAUUGUUAUUGUAGAUGAAAGAUAUUUCAAUUUUCAUCAGUGAACUUCUCGUCUGAAGUCGAUGUACUAAUUCUGGUGUUUUUUUCACCAAAUGUUAAGUAAUGGUAUUACGGAUAUAGCUUGGGAUGCUUCAGGAGAACGAUUGGCGGUGUCCUACAAAGGUGGUGAUGAGUUGUAUAAUGGUUUGGUUGCCAUUUAUGAUGUUAGCAGACGGGGUCCACUUGUUUCUGCAUCGCUUGUGUGAGUAGAGAUGUCUCUAAUUCUACAUUGCUAAUUGUAAGUUUUACGGAUUUUUUUUCACUGACCAUUACAUAUAUUAUGAUAUAUUCAGGGGUUUCAUCAGAGGACCUGGAGAAAAUGCACAUUCACUAGCUUUUGCUUUUCACGAUCAAUUUACACAUGGACCACUGCUGUCAGUUGUAAGUUGCCACUUUUUUACUUACACUUUCACACAGUAGGUUAAUUUACCCUUUCUUUGUUUUUAGUCUUUCGAUUAACACUCAAAAUAUCUUCGUUGUCUUUUUUAAGUGUUGGAGUAGUGGAUGGUGUUGUACGUAUCCCCUAAUAUUUAAGUCACAAGUGAUUUCAUAGUUGUGGUAAAUUCCUCACUAACUUUGUAACUCUUAAUAUUUUUCUGAUCUGUUGGUUGAAUAGUUAAUAGCUGUUUCUCGUACUUAUUAUUUUGUUUUCUUUGCAGUUCAUCUCCACACUUACAUGAUAUAUUCAGAUCCUUGGAAUCAGAAUUUCUUUACAAAUAAAUGAGUAAAUCUUCAUUUGGAAUUUUGUAUUGUACUUGAUAUUCUUAGAAUUUUGCAAAAAAGAAGAUAUUGUAUUUUAGUUUAGUUUGGGGCUGAUAUAAUGGUAUUAGACAUUUAGAUUUUAGACUGUUAAUAUUUAGUGGUGAAUGGUGAUGUGGAAUACUUAAAAAAUAUAGAAAACAGGUUUUUUAGGUGAAUUCGUGAACUAUUUAAGAUUUGAAAGUUUUUUCCACCUUCCUCUUAUACCUUGAUUACAACAGAAUGCUGAAUCACACACACAGAAGUCUGUUUAGAGAUUUUUCUAUAGAAGUAUAUAAAAAAAGAAAAUGAGAAAUGUUAUAUUUUUAUUAGAAAUUUCCCAUUUAUAUUUUACAAACAUUUGUAAUUUUUUUGUUAAAUAGAUCUCAUAGAACAUCAUUUUCGACCAUUUUACAGUUUACACCAUUAAAAACCUAAUGUUUGCAAAUAAAAUAAAAAACACGCUUUUAAUUACAUAUAGUCGACAGAUUCAAUUUACAAAAUGUGAUAUUCUGAUUUCUGAAAUAAUUCGAUUUGCAUCAUUCGGAUUAUUGACUAGUGGUGAAUCUAAUCUCACCUCAUUUCUUAAUCCUUAUCCACUUACAUCUGGAAAGAAGAUCGAGCUUUUCUCUUCCCUUCCAAAACCCAAAACCUCACCUCUGGUUUCGAAUCUCUAACCAAAUCUGCGCAUGGAUUUCUAAUCCAUAUCUCUACACCUCUAAACUCACCCGUCUCUUUCCAUCAUGAACCUUUCUUCCCCUUUCAGACCGCCCUUAUCCGACCCGUCGUCGUCGUAUUCCUCCGAACUCUCAUUUUCCUCUCACAUUACCCAAUUCCCAUUCCACCUCCGUGCGCCCACACUCCAACGACCCAUCUCCUCAAAACGUCUCUUCUACGCAGUAGCCACCGACCCACAACACGAAAUCCCCCAAAACAGUCCCCAGAGACUCCUCCGGGAACUCGCCGAGCGUAAAAAGGUCGCCUUUCCUAAGAAAAAGAUCCCUUCAAGAAGAUUCAUACUCAAACCCCCACUAGAUGACAGCAAGUUGACCCAAAGAUUCCUCAACAGCCCCCAACUCUCUCUCAAAGCUUUCCCUCUGCUAAGUUCAUGUCUACCGUCUUCAAGACUAAACAACGCCGAUAAGACAUGGAUAGACGAGUACCUUCUCGAGGCCAAGCAGGCUCUUGGGUACCCAUUGGACCCAUCCGACAGGUUUGAUGAUGAUAAUCCUGCAAAGCAAUUCGAUACCUUGCUAUAUCUCGCAUUCCAACACCCAUCCUGUGAGAGGUCCAAGGCUAGGCAUGUCAGGAAUGGCCACACCAGACUAGCGUUCUUGGGUCAGUAUGUACUUGAGAUGGGUCUCUGUGAGUUCUUCUUGCAAAGGUAUCCGAGGGAGUCGCCAGGUCCCAUGAGGGAGAGGGUUUUUGGGUUGAUUGGGAAGAGGUUUUUGCCAAAAUGGAUCAAAGCAGCCAGUUUGCACAAUCUGGUUUUCCCUUACGACGACAUGGACAGGAUGAUCAGAAAGGAUCGAGAACCCCCAGUCAAGUAAAUUCAUCCAUCCAUCUCAAUUCAUUUUGCAUAUUGCAUCAUUUUACUAAGGAUUAUUUUGAGAUUUUUGAUAAGUGAUCAUAAUUCAGGAACCAUCUAUGCAUCUUAAUUCUUGCACAUGUAAUCAUUUUACUACCAGACUUGCAAUCGAUGAUCACAUUAUUAUCGAUCAAGAUUCAAGAAUGAUGUUUGCUAUUACAUACGAUUGUUUUGUUUCUUUCUAAUAGGUAUGUCUUCCAUGCACUUUUUGGAGCAAUAUACUUAUGCUUUGGCAUGUCUGAAGUGUACCGUGUUCUUUUCGAGGCAUUUGGAAUGGACCCAGAAGACGAGAGCUGCCAGCCCAAAUUGAGAAGACAACUGGAAGAUGUCGAUUUCGUUUCUGCUGAAUUUGAGGAUAAACGACUUAGUUGGCAGGAAGUCGCUGCUUACAGGGCAAGUUUACUUUUAAUGUAACCGCCAUCUGAAUGUUUUUCAGUGUUUGUCAUCGACAAGUUUUUUGAUUAUUGAAUCGAUGUGUUUGUGCUUUUUCUCUUUACAGCCACCACAAGAUGCGCUCUUUGCACGGCCAAGGCUUUUCAGGGCGUGUGUUCCUCCAGGUAUGCAUAGGUUUCGAGGAAAUGUUUGGGAUUAUGACGGCCGACCUCAGGUUAUGCGGGCACUAGGAUAUCCUUUAAAGAUGAAUGAUAGAAUACCGGAAAUAACCGAUGCUAGGAAUAUCGAACUUGGGCUCGGACUACAGGUAAUUUUCUUCUUCUCCUCGGAUAAACUCUACAAUCUUAUACGGAUUUCACAAUUGGAUGAUGAUGGUGGUAACAAGAAAAACCUUGAAUUGCAGCUAUGUUUUCUGCACCCUUCAAAGCACAAGUUUGAGCAUCCCAGAUUUUGCUAUGAACGUCUGGAGUAUGUUGGUCAAAAGAUACAGGUAACAAGCAACUCAUUGCAACUUGUAUCAUUAGUUAUUACAUAUACAAAUGGCCAAAUGGGGAUUAACUCUUUUUUAAAUUAACAAAACUCGGUAUACCCUUCGUCGGUGUUGAGUUCUUAGAUAUCAUCGUGCAUUCAUGCUAGCUUAAUUCGGAUUCUCAGUUCUCAAUUUUCAUCUGGUAGGAUCUGGUGAUGGCGGAAAAGCUGUUGAUGAAGCACCUUGAUGCCCCUGGGCGAUGGGUUCAGGAACGGCAUCGGCGUCUGUUAAUGAACAAAUUUUGCGGCCGUUAUCUGAGGGAGAAGUACCUCCACAAGUUCAUCACUUAUGGAGAAUCAGUUCAAGACGCAUUUGAGCACAAUCGGAGACUUCGGAAUCCAUCUACAACCUCCGUGCAGCAAGCUCUGCAUGGACUUGCUUAUACUGUUUAUGGCAAGCCUGAUGUAAGGCGUCUGAUGUUUGAGGUUUUUGAUUUUGAACAGAUUCAACCAAAAGAAAUGUAACGCUCGUCUUUUUUUCUCCAAACAACAAUUGAAUCCAUUUUAACUAUUUAUUCAAGUAUUUGCUCAAUAUCCUGAAUGUGAAUCAUAUUUACAUAACAAAAACUCUAUGUAUUAAUAUUUAAUAUAUAUAAAUAGGUAAACUGCACUUGAUUAUGCAGCAUUAAAAGGACCUUUAUUAUCAUCUUAGAGCUCUAGGAGCAUUAGUCAUGUUUUCUUGUUCCAAUGCAGCGUUGGGACUCCCUUCUGCUUGUUUAUCACCUAUUAUUCUUCGUUUUUUAAUAGAAGAGGCAGGAGUAUUUGGGGGUUGGGGUAUCGGUUCCGAUGUUGUCAGUGCGUUCCCAAGCUUUUCCUGCUCUUCAAUAAUCUUUUGUAGAUACUUUCCUUGGGCUUCAAUCCUCAGCUGCAACUUCCUUUGCACCUGAAGUGAUUGUCCAAGUAAUCCGUGUGAUGUCCACAGAUUAGUUUUUUCCCAGUAAACAGUGCGAACUAAAAAGAUGAAAAUAUCUGACCUCAAGCUGUUCAUGGAGCCGUUUUUGCACUUCCAUCUGCAUUUUCAAAGCUUCGUUGAUUUUAAUUCCCCUGCGAUAAACAAGCAAUUCAAUUUUUGAGAAUAGUUAAAACUCAAAUUUGAUUACAACACCAAAUGGAUGAAAUAUUAUUGUUACAUUUAGAUUCAUAUUCAUUGGAUUUUAAUACACAACCUGUAAAACAUUAUUAGUCGAAUUCUACUCAAACUAUAUUUUUAUGUUUUUAAUAGCCAUGUUUUACACAACCAUUAACACAGCACUAAACCCCUAGGGCAGUCAUGACCAUUCCUCUCAGUAGAUGAAUACAUCAAUUUUUACCUGAGAAGAUAGAAACAAAAAAAUAUUUCUAGAAAUCGAAAAUCAAUUGUUUACUCACGGUUCAGAAGCCAUAUUCAUUAAGUUGUCCGUAGAUUCUUUCUUAUCGCUCGUUGAUCCUAGAAAUAACCAAUAUUAAAAACUGUCCCAUUCAGCUAAAUUAAGAAUAAAGAAAAUGUCUAGUUGAAAUUUGCAAGAAAUUAUGAAUCCCAUUCAACGAAAUAAUAGAAAGAUAUUACGAAUUUACCAUUAAUUGGAGAUUCUGGCAAGUACUUUACAAGGCGAUAUUUCUGCAAAUAAGAAUUAAGUCAUUACCUCUUAACUUGGUCAAUUUGUAUCAGAAAAGAGCUAUUUUUAUAAGCAUACCUGUAAAUGACUUUUAAUAUGAUAAAUAGUAAGUCCAGACACACCCAUUACCCUGAGGACACCCUUCGGUGUCGCUCCUGAUUGAAAAUAUAAAAAGAAAGCGUAGUGGAAAAAAAUGUUAAAUCUGAGGAUUUGUGCGUCCUUAAAAAAAAUUUAUUGAAUGAAUACGAAACCAUGGAUUUAUGAUAAUCUUAUAAAAAAGAAACGACAGACAGAUAUUUUAAAGUAACGAUCUAGAAUCUGAAUGAUUUUAUGUACAACGAGAUUAAGAGACUUAUGAUUCUAGAAUUGGAAAAGAAAAAAACUAUUAAUAUCAAAAAAAUAUAUCACACCAUUACAAUGAGUUUUUAUUUAAUAUUUCACCCAUUUUUUAACAUAAAUAUGGCUUAAGAAUAAAGUAAGAUACUCACUGUCUGAUCCACCUAGCUGUGAAAUUGCAUCAAGAAAGCGUUCAUGAAGAUCUGAAGUCCAACGUAGGCGUUGUUUUGAAGAUCCUCCUAAAGUGACUGGAUUGCUUGCAGGAGAAACACCCAAAUAUUCACUAUUAGGAUGUUGGUUAGUGACCUUUGUUUUGUGGGGAACUAAGGUUGCUGUUGAAAUUGUCUUCGCAUGAUACAUGCUUACCAAGCUGCAGUUGAAAAUGGAGUGCAUACAGUCACAUAUCCAUGUAAGAAUCCCAAUAAUUACUUAAUCAGUGCAUAAAAAAUAAUGCAAAAAAAUAUCUGUCAGAUCAUCAGAUGUAAAGGAACCGAUGUAUAAAAUUGUAUGUAUAAUCCCCAUUAUAGACAUACCAUGAAUUUUAGUUUCAGAAGGUGAAUUAUGAUUUUUUUAGCUUUAACAAACACUGGUGAGCAAUUCUUAAUUUAUCAUGGUCGGUAUUUACAAAGUAUAAUCAUUGGCAGGUAAACUGUGGACUGUAUUAUAUAUUAGGGUUUAUAAUUUAAUUAUUUAUACCGGUAAACUGCAAACGAAACAUUUUAUCGCUAAAAAAAGUAAAUUUGGUCGGAAGGGAUCUAUCUAUCUACGUCUGAAGCUGAGAAUGAAGAAGUAAUACCUGACACAAUGAACAACCAAAAAUUAAUUAUCCAGCCCCUCUGUUAUAAUCACACCAACCUAAAUCCAUACGCCAUAUGCCAGCUUCCCCCGAUCCGAUCCUAUCCUUCACCAAACCUUCGUCUUCGUAGGACCAUUAAGAACCCAAUCGGACAAUUCCCAGAUAAAACCAACGUCAAUUCCCGUCUCGUACCAAGCAAAACAAUGGAUCCUUUGAACACAGAAAAAACAGUGAUCGUUAACAAAUAGAACAAAACGUGCAAUAUCAACUGACUUCCCAGAUUCGUGAACUAUAAACUGAAUCUUUAUGAAAAAAAACUAUCGACAAUUCAAGAGGGAUGUGUAGGAAGGAUUUGUGAGAUUGUUGAUAGAACCCUAAUUUUGUUUUUUUUAGGAGAACGUUGUAAUUAGUGAUCCGUCAGAAUACGUUUACUUAGCCCAAGAUGGCGAGAUUUGUGGGGGUGGGUGGGGAGAGAAAAGACAAGAGCAAAGAGAUGAGGGAGUGGAAUAGGAUUAGGAUUUAAAGUAGGUGUUCGUGUAUAUUUUACAGACUCCUAAGUCGUUGACUUUUUAUGUUUAGCUUCCUCUUUAAAUCAUGUUCCGUAGUUAAUAAUAAUUCAAUUAGACAGAUAUACAAUUAAAUGAAUUAAUUAUUUACUAUCAGAACGGAUCAGGUCCAGGUGGACCAGGUGGACCAGGUGGACCAGAUGAGAGAUUCUCUUAUAUAAGACCAAAUGAGAACAAGUCAUCUCGUCCCUUGAUCUAAUAUUGAAUGAUGAUAGACGGUUGUAAUUCAAAAAAUGACUAUUAUGCAAAUAGUGAUCUCAUAAUAUGGACUAUGAUCGUAAAAUAUCCUAAUGUAAUUUAUUUUUAUAAUUUUUUAUAACUCGAUUUGUUCAGUUGGUAUUAAGAUGAUUAAGAAAAUUAGCAACAAGAUUGAUAAUAUCUGACGUAAUAAUUCAAAACUCAUAAUUAUUUUCUCAAUAAAUAAUAGAAAUAGAAUUUUUAUUUUAGUGAUUACUAAUUUUUUUAUAAAAAUAAACUAACAAUUAAUUACCUAUUUACAAUAAGUCCUUGUAUUUCAUCUCAAAACAAAGAUUCAUCCAUGUAACGAUGUCCUCAUCAAAAUCACGUUUACCGGAAAACGGCGAGAUAUCAUCCAUAAUCUCUACCGUCGGCGACGUCUUCUCACGAGAUUUUUCCCACAUGCACUCCCCCACAUCGGAAUCCUGACCGGUGAGCUGCUGAACCCGUUCCUUAAACUCGGAGGCCGUAAGAGUUACCCUUAGUGGGUUUGAGAUGUACGACACCACCUCUGAUCUCUUCCCCUCUCCUCCUUUUCCGUCUAUUUUUCUGCAUUGAAACGACGCCGGCGUGAUCAGCGACGAACAUCUGCUUACUUUCCAUCAUAUAUUUUUACCACCGAUGAUAGUUAAUUGAUGACUUGCUGGAUAUAUAUCAAUCUGUUAGCGAGCUUCGAGGAAGGAGCCGGAGGGGGAAGAUGGUGACUGCUGAGAGUUCAAGAGAUGUUGAAAUGUCAGUGGUGAUGUUCUGCUUUACUGGACAGUUUGGACUGAUGUUGAUCGUCUUCUAGAAAUCGAUCUAAGAAGAUUUUCAUCUAUUUUUUUGGAGUAAAAUUACAAAUUAAUCGUUUUUAUGGGGUUGAAAAGUGAAAAUGAUUUUACAGAAACAAACGAUCUCAUUCUCAUCCCUUUUAUUUAAAAUAAUAUACCAUCCAAAUUAAUAUCUCGCAAGAUAUUAAGUA
rnacentral:lncRNA from 1 species